rfam:Salmo salar isolate Sally breed double haploid chromosome ssa10, whole genome shotgun sequence.
UGUAUUCACUACUGUAAGUCACUCUGGAUAAGAGCGUCUGCUAAAUGACUCAAA